GACGAACGCUGGCGGCGUGCUUAACACAUGCAAGUCGAACGGGCCUUGUCCCCUUUUUUUGGGGGUGGGGUUAGUGGCGAACGGGUGAGUAACACGUGAGUAAUCUGCCCCUCCCUUCUGGAUAACCGCUUGAAAGGGUGGCUAAUACGGGGUGUUCUGGCCUGCUCGCAUGGGUGGGUUUGGAAAGAUUCGACCGGUUUUGGUUGUUUUGGUGGGGGAUGGGCUCGCGGCCUAUCAGCUUGUUGGUGGGGUGAUGGCCUGCCAAGGCUUUGACGGGUAGCCGGCCUGAGAGGGUGGGCGGUCACACUGGGACUGAGACACGGCCCAGACUCCUACGGGAGGCAGCAGUGGGGAAUAUUGCACAAUGGGCGCAAGCCUGAUGCAGCGACGCCGCGUGAGGGAUGGAGGCCUUCGGGUUGGGAACCUCUUUCGCCAGUGAAGAAGGUCCUGCUCUUUGUGGUGGGGUUGACGGUAGCUGGGUUAAUGAAGCGCCGGCUAACUACGUG
rnacentral:rRNA from 1 species